GGCGCCAUAGCCAAGUGGUAAGGCAGAGGUCUGCAACACCUUUAUCCCCAGUUCAAAUCUGGGUGGUGCCU
rnacentral:tRNA from 1 species